rnacentral:rRNA from 1 species
UACGGAGGAUCCGAGCGUUAUCCGGAUUUAUUGGGUUUAAAGGGUGCGUAGGCGGCCUUGUAAGUCAGGGGUGAAAGACGGUAGCUCAACUAUCGCAGUGCCUUUAUACUGCAGGGCUUGAAUAUACUAGAGGCAGGCGGAAUGUGACAAGUAGCGGUGAAAUGCAUAGAUAUGUCACAGAACACCAAUUGCGAAGGCAGCUUGCUAUGGUAUAAUUGACGCUGAGGCACGAAAGCGUGGGGAUCAAACAGG